GAUGAACGCUGGCGGUAUGCUUAACACAUGCAAGUCGAACGGACUCUUCGGAGUUAGUGGCGGACGGGUGAGUAACGCGUGAGAAUCUGGCUUUGGGUUCGGGACAACCACUGGAAACGGUGGCUAAUACCGGAUGUGCCGAGAGGUAAAAGAGAAAUUGCCUGAAGAUGAGCUCGCGUCUGAUUAGCUAGUUGGUGAGGUAAAGGCUCACCAAGGCAUCGAGCAGUAGCUGGUCUGAGAGGAUGACCAGCCACACUGGGACUGAGACACGGCCCAGACUACUACGGGAGGCAGCAGUGGGGAAUUUUCAGCAAUGGGCGAAAGCAUGAAGGAGCAAUACCGCGGGAGGGAAGAAGGCUCUUGGGUUGUAACCCUCUUUUCUUAGGGAAGAACAAAAUGACGGUACCUAAGGAAUCAGCAUCGGCUAACUCCGUG
rnacentral:rRNA from 1 species